rnacentral:lncRNA from 1 species
UUUCAUUCAAUAACUAAAUUUUUAUAUUGUUCGUAGUUUAGCUUUGCAAACGAACUUAUUGAAAGAAUAAAUGCUCCUCAUGCUUACAAUAAUCUCAUACAAACAAUCGAUUACAUCCAUUUUGCGUGUAAAGAAUUGAUAAAGGCAUUGGUAAAGUUAAAUCCAACAACAUUCAACAUUUCCUCACCUCGAGCUUCUCCUACUCAACAUUUCAAUAUGCGUGCAAACGAAUCUAAACCUCAACAUCAAAGUUCUAGUCAUACACAGGUUCAGUCACAAGCACAAGUACCACCACCUUAUCUUCACGAAGAACAAUCCUAUGAAGUUUUCACAAUAUUUCCAACUACCUACGAUAUGGGGCAAAGUUCUCAAUUUCAAGGAUAUCUGCCAUCAACUUUGCUACAAGUUCAAACACCUCAAUGUUGGCAUAUGGAUCACAAGAAUUUUAUUAUCCUACUAUAUCGUCACAACCGGAACAAAGCAAUAUUCAUGGUAAUGAAGAUAGUGAUGAUGAAGGUGGUGAGGAGGAAGAUGAGCAAC